UACGGAGGGUGCAAGCGUUAAUCGGAAUUACUGGGCGUAAAGCGCACGUAGGUGGUUCGCUAAGUCAGCUGUGAAAUCCCCAGGCUUAACCUGGGAACUGCAUCCGAUACUGGAUGGCUUGAAUCCGGGAGAGGGAUGCAGAAUUCCAGGUGUAGCGGUGAAAUGCGUAGAUAUCUGGAGGAAUACCGGUGGCGAAGGCGGCAUCCUGGACCGGCAUUGACGCUGAGACGCGAAAGCGUGGGGAGCAAACAGG
rnacentral:rRNA from 1 species